AUACGGAGGGCGCAAGCGUUGUUCGGAAUCAUUGGGCGUAAAGCGGGUGUAGGCGGCUUGGCAAGUCGGAUGUGAAAUCCCUGGGCCCAACCCAGGAACUGCAUUCGAUACUGCUUCGCUAGAGUCCCGGAGAGGAUGGCAGAAUUCCCGGUGUAGAGGUGAAAUUCGUAGAUAUCGGGAGGAAUACCAGUGGCGAAGGCGGCCAUCUGGACGGUGACUGACGCUCAGACCCGAAAGCGUGGGGAGCAAACAGGAUUAGAAACCCCAGUAGUCC
rnacentral:rRNA from 1 species